UUCCAGACUCCUACGGGAGGCAGCAGUCGGGAAUAUUGCACAAUGGAGGAAACUCUGAUGCAGUGACGCCGCGUGCAGGAAGAAGGUUUUCGGAUUGUAAACUGCUUUAGACAGGGAAGAAACAAGACAGUACCUGUAGAAUAAGCUCCGGCUAACUACGUGCCAGCAGCCGCGGUAAUACGUAGGGAGCAAGCGUUAUCCGGAUUUAUUGGGUGUAAAGGGUGCGUAGACGGGAAUUUAAGUUAGUUGUGAAAUCCCUCGGCUUAACUGAGGAACUGCAACUAAAACUGAAUUUCUUGAGUGCGGGAGAGGAAAGUGGAAUUCCUAGUGUAGCGGUGAAAUGCGUAGAUAUUAGGAGGAACACCAGUGGCGAAGGCGGCUUACUGGACUGUAACUGACGUUGAGGCUCGAAAGCGUGGGGAGCAAACAGGAUUAGAUACCCCCGUAGUG
rnacentral:rRNA from 1 species